AAAAAAAGAUAAUAAAUAAAUUUAAGGGUAUAAUUACAUAUAACUUUAUUAGGUUUAAAAUUGAUGUUGCGAUUAGUGUGGGCUAAUCCGUCAGCUGUCCAGUAUAUAGUAUUUUUAAAGCGGACAACAAACGGCUGCAGACUUAAUUGACAGUCUUCAAUUAGGCUGCAGUGAUUUUCUUUUAUUUUUUUGGAUUCUCAUUAUUACGGACAAUAGUUCAUAAAUAAUAAAUAAAAAGCAAUCCGGUUCGUAGACGGUUUUGUUCGUUUGGACUGCUAUAACCAUUCAAAGCUUUAGUCUUUGCAUGAAAUCACUAAGAUUAUGAUCAAUGUAAAUGUAGUCUCACAUUCUUCUACUUGAAGCUAUUU
rnacentral:sRNA from 1 species